GUUCAGGACAAGUUCCGUCUGGAUCUGUCUGACGAGGAAGCUGUCCACUACAUGCAGAGCUUGAUCGACGAAAGCGUCCAUGCUCUCUUUGCGGCGAUGGUGGAACAGAUCCACAAGUUUGCUCAGUACUGGAGAAAAUGAGACCUCAUCACUUCCGAAGGAAAAAAAUUCUCCUCCAGCUGCUUCCUGAAACUCCUGAAGAUAACGUCAACCAAGGAUGUAACUUUUCUAGCUUGGAUAAUGAAUUUAUCCAGAAUUGCCAUUCCAAACUGGGACAGGGGUAUAUGUUCCUCACUCUCAGUUAUCAGACACAGUUUGGAAAACAGGGCAGUGCUGUCCAGAACCCCAAUGACAAGAAGAAAAUAAAUGUCUAAUGGUUUUUGAAGGACAUCUGUGCACUUAUUACUGUGGUCCCUCUACAAGAAUGCAACUAUGGAGAGACACGUACGGCCAAAGCUUAUGAACUUGGAAUGGAAGUUUGGAGUCAUUUCUAAAACUUGUCCAAACUUCAGUUGGACCUCCCUUUUAGAGUAGAUUAGUUCCUACGGAUUCCUUUUUUAGAAACAAGCUCUCAUCAGAUCUGGACCUUUAGAACAAAGCAAAGUCCUCAAAAGAUAUCAGCGACGGACUUCAAAUUUUUUAGAAACAAGCUCUCAUCAGAUCUGGACCUUUAGAACAAAGCAAAGUCCUCAAAAGAUAUCAGCGACGGACUUCAAAUUCCUGACGGGAAGAGAGCGAAAGUUUUCACUUUGCGUACAACAACAUAAUGUAUGUUGACUGUAUAUGCCAAAUCUAAUAAAAUGGCUUUGGUGCAA